AUGUGACCCCCUGGUUUCUAGCAACUUUUUGUUCACCUUGUGAAUGGAAACUAAAUGAAAACAAAUGAAAGAUAGCAACAUCCUUGUCCAUCCAAUUUUUCAUCGUCCAAUUUGUCUAAUUUGACAAAUUUAAAAUGAGAUGUACUAGGAAAUUCGCGGUAUUGAAUGCUUCUUAUCUACAAGCAGUUAUCUUUCGGGGAAAUCCUUUACAUUUAAUUUAUCCAAAUAUCAUUUAACAUGUACGACAUUAAAAAUCAAACGGAUAGCGGAAACAACAACGAAGUAGUCGAAGUAGAAGAAAACCAAGAAGAAAAAGAAAAAUUAGAAAAUAGACAGAAAUUUCGAAGAAAAUCUAUGAUUUAUCAUUCGAUAUCGUUAAUAGUGUUGCACGCUCUGGAAGCAAUACUUUUGAUCAUUCUUCUGCCAGUGAUAAUCUGGCAAUGGAUUUCUGUCAAUCAUCGUUUAAAGAUAAUCCUGAAAACCGUAGUAGAAGUCACGCUUGAACUGGUUAUGUGGGUGAUCUUCGCUGGAGUGUCUGUCCUUAUGACCACGACAUUCGUUUUAGAAGACAUUUACUAUGGAAAAACGAUUAUGAGAAGCUCAAACAAUUAAUAAACACGCGAGGCGAGCCCACCUGGAGCAAUAACGAAACGCUGAAUUUUUUUAAAAAGCGGAGCGAUCUGGAACUUCCAGAAAACUGACAUCGAUAUUUCUUAUAAUAGCUUUCUUUGUUUACCUUCCUGUUUUUCUAUUUUCACUGUAUCUUUUUAUAGUACUCUGUAUUCUGUAUAUUUUUAAUGUAUCCUAUACUGUAUGUUUAUUUGUUUUUAAGGCGCUUUUUCUAGUACAAGUUUUUUAUGACUGACUUUCGAGGAAAAUACAGUUCCUUAUUCGUAAAAUUAUAAGUUGUAAAGUCGUAACAUUGUAAAAUGGUCAGUUUUUGCUAGUGGAAAUAGCUUCAAUAAUUUGAUUAGUAUCCAAACAACGCAACAGAAUUAAUAUCUAUACAAAUCAUCUAAAAUAACGCUUAAACUAAAUAUGUUACUACUACUUAAACUAAAGAUACAUAUAUAUACAUCUAAAAAGAAAAAUUUUUAAUGCAAAAGUUCGCAGAAUAUGUUAAUCACAGUACUUAAAAAUAUACCAAAAAUACACAAAAAAUAAUACUUGUCAUAUAUAUUUAAUAAGUGGCGUAUAGAUGAUAAACUUUUUCCGGCGAUCCAUUUCUAUAAACUAUGUUCAUAGAAAUAUAAAUCCGCAUAAACGCCAAUAAUAAAAGAUAUUAUAACUAUAAAAUUUCUUCUAAACAGACGAUUCUUCGACGAAUAUUGAAGAUUCUUCGAUCAAUGGUUCCUUUGACGUUAACAUAGGACUUCCUGACGAAUCUUUGUAAAUCACAGGAAUUUCCACAUUUUCGUGAAACCA